UACGGAAGGUCCGGGCGUUAUCCGGAUUUAUUGGGUUUAAAGGGAGCGUAGGCCGAUGAUUAAGCGUGCUGUGAAAUGUUGCGGCUCAACCGUAGAAUUGCAGCGCGAACUGGUUAUCUUGAGUGCGCGGAAGGCAGGCGGAAUUCGUGGUGUAGCGGUGAAAUGCUUAGAUAUCACGAAGAACUCCGAUUGCGAAGGCAGCUUGCCGUAGCGCUACUGACGCUAAAGCUCGAAGGUGCGGGUAUCGAACAGG
rnacentral:rRNA from 1 species